AACGAACGCUGGCGGCAGGCCUAACACAUGCAAGUCGAACGAGAUCUUCGGAUCUAGUGGCGGACGGGUGAGUAACGCGUGGGAACGUGCCUUUCACUACGGAAUAGUCCCGGGAAACUGGGUUUAAUACCGUAUACGCCCUUCGGGGGAAAGAAUUUCGGUGAGAGAUCGGCCCGCGUCUGAUUAGGUAGUUGGUGGGGUAAUGGCCUACCAAGCCGACGAUCAGUAGCUGGUUUGAGAGGAUGAUCAGCCACACUGGGACUGAGACACGGCCCAGACUCCUACGGGAGGCAGCAGUGAGGAAUCUUGGACAAUGGGGCAACCCUGAUCCAGCCAUGCCGCGUGAGUGAGAAGGCCCUAGGGUGUAAAGCUCUUUCAGGGAGAUAUGACGUACCU
rnacentral:rRNA from 1 species